UGGUGAAGAACAUAUUGAUAUUGA
rnacentral:siRNA from 1 species